UUGAGAAAAAAAAACUAUUUAUGGGAUAAUCCAAUUAAAUUAAUUAAACAAACAAAAUCGUUCCGUUGUAAUAAACAAAGAGGUCACGACGAUCGCGUUACAUAAUGUUAUAUAUAUAUACAUGCUCGUGAUCCAUAUACACGAGUAUUUAUCUAUAGAUAAGUUAAAUCUAUAUCUAUGUUUCGAUGGUAUAUAUUUAGUGCGGUAGACCAGUUAGUAAAAAUAUAAAAAAACGUAGUGGGGGAUUAUGUUGAACCCAAAGUAACUUUAUUGUGGAUUCGGUUUCAGCGUUGUCGUCUUUGUGUGUCUCCCUCUUUCUCUUUCCCACCGUAUGAUUAUUCGUGUCCACUGGGAUGAAACGAAUUUCGAAUGCUUACGGCGACGCUCCGCAUUCUGUGCUACAGAAUGCUCAGAGACGUAGAAUUUCGCCACGUUUUUCGUCGUUUAAGAACUUACAACGUGAGAAAUGGCAACUUUAGGGGAGGAGUCGGGGGCGUGUAUUGACUCGGAAGCGUGUCCGCAAGGCUGAAAGAUAGUCAAAUCCAAAAUUUGGCACAGAUGAGUUCAAUGGAAUGAGAAAGAUGCAGAAAUCCAACUUGAAAAAUUGGAACGUCAAAUGGACUCAUUUGUAAGAUAGAAGUUGAUGGAAAAACUGUUAGCAAUCAGAUAAUUUCGAAAAUAUUUCAUUGAGUUAAUGAAAAAAUAAAUUAAGAUUCAAGAGCAUGAAGAUACAAA